GCAGUGUCACAAGUUGUCAACUGAGUUAUCAGAUUUAUUAUCGGUUUACUCUCUUGUAUAUUUCUUCAUUUUGGUUUGCUUUACUCAUCAGACUGGUCAGUUAAUUUGCAGAUUAUGCAGGUUUAAGCUCACAGACUCUUUUAGAAGUUAAAGAUAUCGUACCAGCAAUGUUGAGCAGCUCUUCCAAGGAAUCCGGUAGUACAAUUAAUUUCCCCCAUCUUCUGGAUGUUCUUUCAUCUUGGUGUUUCAUAUGAAUGGUGACUCUCUUCUUUGUAA
rnacentral:lncRNA from 1 species